CCUACGGGCGGCUGCAGUGGGGAAUAUUGCGCAAUGGGCGAAAGCCUGACGCAGCGACGCCGCGUGGAGGAUGAAGGUCUUCGGAUUGUAAACUUCUGUUAAGUGGGAAGAAAGCUCUGCUUUUAAUAGAAGCGGAGGAUGACGGUACCAUUAGAGAAAGCACCGGCUAAACUCGUGCCAGCAGCCGCGGUAAUACGAGUGGUGCAAGCGUUAUUCGGAAUCAUUGGGCGUAAAGGGUGUGUAGACGGUAUGUUAAGUCAACUGUUAAAUUCUCC
rnacentral:rRNA from 1 species